rnacentral:rRNA from 1 species
UACGUAGGGCGCAAGCGUUGUCCGGAAUUAUUGGGCGUAAAGAGCUCGUAGGCGGUCUGUCGCGUCGAUCGUGAAAACUUGGGGCUUAACCCUGAGCUUGCGGUCGAUACGGGCAUGACUGGAGUUCGGCAGGGGAGACUGGAAUUCCUGGUGUAGCGGUGAAAUGCGCAGAUAUCAGGAGGAACACCGGUGGCGAAGGCGGGUCUCUGGGCCGAUACUGACGCUGAGGAGCGAAAGCUAGGGGAGCGAAUGGG